CUGGUCUUGACAUGUCUGGAAUCCCGAAGAGAUUUGGGAGUGCCGCAAGGAACCAGAACACAGGUGCUGCAUGGCUGUCGUCAGCUCGUGUCGUGAGAUGUUGGGUUAAGUCCCGCAACGAGCGCAACCCUUGUCCUUAGUUGCCAUCAUUAAGUUGGGAACUCUAAGGAGACCGCCGGUGACAAACCGGAGGAAGGUGGGGAUGACGUCAAGUCAUCAUGGCCUUUAUGACCAGGGCUACACACGUGCUACAAUGGCAGGUACAGAGGGAAGCCAACCCGCGAGGGGGAGCUAAUCCCAGAAAACCUGUCUUAGUCCGGAUUGGAGUCUGCAACUCGACUCCAUGGAGUUGGAAUCGCUAGUAAUCGCAGAUCAGCAUUGCUGCGGUGAAUACGUUCCC
rnacentral:rRNA from 1 species